UUCAUCACAAUUAAAUUGAAAUCAAUUAAAAUCAACAUUUCAUCACAAUUAAAUUCAAGGAAUCNCAUAAAAACAAUUGAAACCACUUCAACAACAUUUCAUCAGAAUCAAUCAUAUACAGAAUCAAUCAUAUACGAAGCAUGUAUUGAAUAGAUGAAGAUAGNAACAUACNUGUUUUCNUUCUCUUCACAAACAAAUGUGGCACCGGAGAGAAGAAGGUUGCGGCGGAGAAGCAAAAUCCGGCACGGUUGCGGCGGAGAAGCAAGUUCCGGGGCGGAGAUGGAAGGAGAAGCAGAGACUGGACGGAGAAGGAGAGACUGGACGGAGAAGUAGAGACUGGACAGAGAAGGAGAGACUGGACGGAGAAGCAGAGCGCCUGGACGGAAAUCGCACAGGGAAGAAAAAUUGUUUCAGAAAUCGCGUGGGGAAGACGAACUGUGUGGUGAAUUUUGUUUUUUUAACUCUUAGAAGAGAAUCUGCCGCGAUUCUCCACUUAACCGCGGCAUAAAGGGGGAAUAGGCCGCGGUUCUACACAUAACCGCGGCCUAUUCAUUUUAAAAAAAUAAUACAGAAUGGCAUUUUUGAAAUUUUUUUUAACUUAUAUGUCGCGGUUCAGCGCCCAACCGCGGCAUAUAC
rnacentral:lncRNA from 1 species